UACGGGGGGGGCAAGCGUUGUUCGGAUUUACUGGGCGUAAAGCGCGUGUAGGCGGCUAUGUAAGUCGGGCGUGAAAUCCCACGGCUCAACCGUGGAAGUGCACCCGAAACUGCGUAGCUAGAGUCCUGGAGAGGAAGGUGGAAUGCUUGGUGUAGAGGUGAAAUUCGUAGAUAUCAAGCGGAACACCGGUGGCGAAGGCGGCCUUCUGGACAGUGACUGACGCUGAGACGCGAAAGCGUGGGGAGCAAACAGG
rnacentral:rRNA from 1 species